CGCCCGUGCGCAGGUUGUGAUAGAAGAUCUUGCGCUUGCUGGUCGGCCUGUCUCGUUGGAUGAUCAGAAUCUGUAUUUGUUCCGUGGAUUGCGCCCUGAAUUUCAUCUAGUCACUGCUUCGAUCGCUUCAGGAAGUUGCAAAUCUCCUAGGUUCCCAUGAGUUCGUUACGGGUGCCUCUUCUGGUGCGGAGCCGGCUGUCUUUGUGUCGUCCCGUGGCAGUGGUCGGCGUCCAUGGCGCGGUGGCUAGCAGCAGCACGGCGGCACCGGUGGACAGCACGUCAGGACUGGCGGGCAGCAGCAGUCUCAUGGUGGCAGUCCGGCUGGUCGUGGCGGCAGGGGCGGUCGAUCGCGUGGUGGCGGCCGGGGCUCCCGGAAUGGCUGUUGGCAACCCAGAUGUCAGCUGUGUGGAGUGAUUGGUCAUACUGCUCCUAGGUGCUAUUCUUUCAUUCAUUCACAGCCCCAAGCUAAUUACACAUAUUCUGCUAAUGCCCCGGAUUUUUCCACUAAUUCUACUAAUCUUUGGAUUCCCGACACUGGAGCCACGAAUCAUGCUACUCCUGAUAUUGUUGCGUUGUCUUCCUCUGAGGAAUAUACCGGGGGUGACACUCUGAGAGUUGGUGAUGGAUAUCACCACCAGGGCGACUCUACUACGUGGCAGUAGUUCGGGAGGGCUGUACGCGUUGCCCGUUUCGUCUCCUCAGUCUGGUCCUAAAGCUUUCGUUUCUUCUCGUGCUUCUUCUUCGGUGUGGCAUGAUCGUCUGGGUCACCCUCAUCAACGGGUUUUGAGUCGUGUUUUACCUUUUUGUUCUGUUAUUAGUUCGAAUAGUUAUACUCGUUGUUCUAGUCUCUGUUCAGCAUGUCAGUUAGGCAAAUCUUCCCGUUUCCCUUUACCGCGUGUUGACACUGUUAGUUCGAAUGUUCUUGAUAUAAUUUAUACCGAUAUUUGGGGACCA